GAUGAAGAACGCAGCGAACGUGCGAAACGUAAUGUGAAUUGCAGAAUUCAGUGAACCAUCGAAUCUUUGAACGCAUCUUGCGCUCCUUGGUAUUCCGAGGAGCAUGCCUGUUUGAGUGUCGUGAAUACUCUCAACUUCAACCCUUUUUUCGGAAAGGGAGGAAGGUUGGACUUGGGUGUUUGUUGAAGUGCGAGCUUCGACUCAUCCUAAAUGCAUUAGCGAUCUGCCUCGAUCACACACAAUGUGAUAAUUAAAACUAAAGCAUUGUUUAAUGAUCAAGUCGAGACUGCUUCUAACUGUCGCAAGACAAUAACGUGCAUACAUUUGUGCAUGUCAUUUGACCUCAAAUCAGGUAGGACUACCCGCUGAACUUAAGCAUAUCGAUAAGCGGAGGA
rnacentral:misc_RNA from 1 species